rfam:Nicotiana attenuata strain TT chromosome 1, whole genome shotgun sequence.
UGGACAAAUUAUUGUAUUCGACUGUAUUCACGGCGUGAAACAUGGGAUUACACUGUUUUUAAACGGAAAGUGUAUCAAUUAACAUAAUAGACUCCU